CAUGAAGCUGGAAUCGCUAGUAAUCGCGGAUCAGAAUGCCGCGGUGAAUACGUUCCCGGGUCUUGUACACACCGCCCGUCACACCAUGGGAGUCGGAAAUGCCCGAAGUCUGUGACCCAACCUUAGGGAGGGAGCAGCCGAAGGCAGGUCGGAUGACUGGGGUGAAGUCGUAACAAGGUAUC
rnacentral:rRNA from 1 species